rnacentral:rRNA from 1 species
AUGAUUGAUCUCUGUAAUUCAAUGGAAAGCAGCGGUAUUGCAGGCGACUGCUAUGUUUUCAACAUAUUAAUUGAUGCAUAUGCUAAACAUGGAAUGAUGGAUGAAGCUAUGCUCAUAUUUACAGAAAUGUGGGAAAAAGGAGUAAGUCCUAAUGUAGUCACCUAUUCCACUGUAAUAGCCGCACUUUCCAGAAUGGCUAGAUUGACCGAUGCCAUGGGCAAGUUCAUUCAGAUGAUUUCCACGGGAGUUCAAUCCAACACAGCUGUUUACUACUCCCUAAUUCAUGGUUUAUGUUUAAAUGUCGGCAAGAUGGGUGAAGCACCCAGAGUGCUUGAAUCCAUGAUAUCCGUUGGUAUUGAGCCUAAUGUUGUUACAUGUAAUACUCUUAUUAAUGGCUAUUCUAGAAAUGGAAGGAUCAAUGAUGGUUUGACUCUGUUUAGAGAAAUGACAAGUAAGAGAAUUAAGCUUGACACUGUUACAUAUGAGAUCAUACUGGAUGGGUUGUUUCAUUCUGGGAGAACUGUUGCCGCAAGGAAAAUAUUUCAUGAGAUGACCGAAAAUGGAAUAACAGUGAGCAUUUCCACAUACGGUAUAAUACUUAGAGGUCUUUGUAGAAAUAAUUGUGUGCUCUGUUCCAGAAAUUAG